rnacentral:rRNA from 1 species
UCCAGACUCCUACGGGAGGCAGCAGUGGGGGAUAUUGCACAAUGGGGGAAACCCUGAUGCAGCGACACCGCGUGGGUGAGGAAGCGCUUCGGCGUGUAAAGCCCUAUCAGUGGGGAAGAAAAAGGACGGUACCCAAAGAAGAAGCCCCGGCUAACUACGUGCCAGCAGCCGCGGUAAUACGUAGGGGGCAAGCGUUAUCCGGAAUUACUGGGUGUAAAGGGUGAGUAGGCGGCAUGGUAAGCCAGAUGUGAAAGCCUUGGGCUUAACCCGAGGAUUGCAUUUGGAACUAUCAAGCUAGAGUACAGGAGAGGAAGGCGGAAUUCCUAGUGUAGCGGUGAAAUGCGUAGAUAUUAGGAAGAACACCAGUGGCGAAGGCGGCUUUCUGGACUGAAACUGACGCUGAGGCACGAAAGCGUGGGGAGCGAACAGGAUUAGAUACCCUUGUAAA